ACGGGAGGCAGCAGUGAGGAAUAUUGGUCAAUGGGCGGAAGCCUGAACCAGCCAAGUCGCGUGAAGGAAGAAGGUAUUAUGUAUUGUAAACUUCUUUAGCAGCAGAGAAAUAAGGUGGACGUGUCCACUGAUGCUAGUAUGCUGAGAAUAAGCAUCGGCUAACUCCGUGCCAGCAGCCGCGGUAAUACGGAGGAUGCGAGCGUUAUCCGGAUUUAUUGGGUUUAAAGGGUGCGCAGGCGGUCUUUUAAGUCAGUGGUCAAAUCGUGGUGCUCAACGCCAUCCCGCCAUUGAUACUGGGAGACUUGAUUGCGGUUGAGGUAGGCGGAAUUCGUCGUGUAGCGGUGAAAUGCAUAGAUAUGACGAAGAACUCCGAUUGGGAAGCCAGCUUACUGUAGCGCCACUGACGCUGAUGCUCGAAAGCGUGGGUAUCGAACAGGAUUAGAUACCCUGGUA
rnacentral:rRNA from 1 species